rnacentral:rRNA from 1 species
UCUGGCAUCGAUGAAGAACGCAGCGAAAUGCGAUAAGUAGUGUGAAUUGCAGAAUUCAGUGAAUCAUCGAAUCUUUGAACGCACAUUGCGCCCCUCGGUAUUCCGUGGGGCAUGCCUGUUCGAGCGUCAUCU